rnacentral:rRNA from 2 species
GGGGAAUAUUGCACAAUGGAGGAAACUCUGAUGCAGCGACGCCGCGUGAGUGAAGAAGGUCUUCGGAUCGUAAAACUCUGUCCUUGGUGACGAAAAAAAUGACGGUAGCCAAGGAGGAAGCCCCGGCUAACUACGUGCCAGCAGCCGCGGUAAUACGUAGGGGGCGAGCGUUGUCCGGAAUUAUUGGGCGUAAAGGGUGCGUAGGCGGCUGAACAAGUCAGAUGUGAAAGGUUAAGGCUUAACUUUAAUAAGCAUAUGAAACUGUUCAGCUUGAGUUAAGGAGAGGGGAGUGGAAUUCCUAGUGUAGCGGUGAAAUGCGUAGAUAUUAGGAGGAAUACCAGUGGCGAAGGCGACUCUCUGGACUUAAACUGACGCUGAGGCACGAAAGCGUGGGGAGCAAACA